rnacentral:rRNA from 1 species
UACGGGAAGGGCAAGCGUUGUUCGGAAUUACUGGGCGUAAAGGGCUCGUAGGCGGCCAACUAAGUCGGAUGUGAAAUCCCCCAGGCUCAACCUGGGAACUGCAUCCGAUACUGGAUGGCUUGAAUUCGGGAGAGGGAUGCAGAAUUCCAGGUGUAGCGGUGAAAUGCGUAGAUAUCUGGAGGAAUACCGGUGGCGAAGGCGGCAUCCUGGACCGACAUUGACGCUGAUGAGCGAAAGCUAGGGGAGCAAACGGGG